AGUGAACGCAGGCGGCAGGCUUAACACAUGCAAGUCGAGCGCCCCGCAAGGGGAGCGGCAGACGGGUGAGUAACGCGUGGGAAUCUACCCAUCUCUACGGAAUAACGCAUGGAAACGUGUGCUAAUACCGUAUACGUCCUUCGGGAGAAAGAUUUAUCGGAGAUGGAUGAGCCCGCGUUGGAUUAGCUAGUUGGUGGGGUAAAGGCCUACCAAGGCGACGAUCCAUAGCUGGUCUGAGAGGAUGAUCAGCCACGCUGGGACUGAGACACGGCCCAGACUCCUACGGGAGGCAGCAGUGGGGAAUAUUGGACAAUGGGCGCAAGCCUGAUCCAGCCAUGCCGCGUGAGUGAUGAAGGCCCUAGGGUUGUAAAGCUCUUUCACCGGUGAAGAUAAUGACGGUAACCGGAGAAGAAGCCCCGGCUAACUUCGUGCCAGCAGCCGCCGUAAAAC
rnacentral:rRNA from 1 species